CAGCCGCCACGGUAAUACGAAGGGGGCUAGCGUUGUUCGGAAUUACUGGGCGUAAAGCGCACGUAGGCGGAUAUUUAAGUCAGGGGUGAAAUCCCAGAGCUCAACUCUGGAACUGCCUUUGAUACUGGGUAUCUUGAGUAUGGAAGAGGUGAGUGGAAUUCUGAGUGUAGAGGUGAAAUUCGUAGAUAUUCGGAGGAACACCAGUGGCGAAGGCGGCUCACUGGUCCAUUACUGACGCUGAGGUGCGAAAGCGUGGGGAGCAAACAGGAUUAGAUACCCCCGUAGUCCCUGUCUCUUAUAC
rnacentral:rRNA from 1 species